rnacentral:rRNA from 1 species
GACGAACGCUGGCGGCGUGCUUAACACAUGCAAGUCGAGCGGAGCGGCGAACGGGUGAGUAACGCGUGAGUAACUGCACCCCUCUCUGGGAUAACAGUUGGAAACGGCAGCUAAUCCCGGAUAGUGGGGGAUGACUCGCGUCCUAUCAGCUUGUAGGUGGGGUAGUGGCCUACCAAGGCGACGACGGGUAGCCGGCCUGAGAGGGCGACCGGCCGCAUUGGGCUGAGAUAGGGCGCAAACUCCUACGGGAGGCAGCAGUGGGGAAUAUUGCACAAUGGGGGAAACCCUGAUGCAGCAACCCGGGUGCGGGAUGACGUCCUUCGGGGUGUAAACCGCUUUCAGCUAUGACGCGGUAGUGGCAGAAGAAGCACCGGCUAACUACGUGCCAGCCGCCGCGGUAAUUC